rnacentral:tRNA from 1 species
AAGGGAGACCUAAUUCCGGUAGGAGACGAAAAAAAAGUAGUCCCUACCAAGAAUCAAUCCCAAAAGGUCGAAGCGAGGCAAGAUUGGCUUUCAAACUAGGUUCUGGGUUCAAACAAGACCUGAAUCAGGAACAAGGGCUAUUAGCUCAGGUGGUUAGAGCGCACCCCUGAUAAGGGUGAGGUCCCUGGUUCGAGUCCAGGAUGGCCCACCUGCACAGGUGGCAAAAACAAAGAAGCGAGGAAUCAGCGCCUUACCUUACUCAUAUAGUAAGAGAGAAUGCUGGCUCUGAGUAAAGAGUCCAGAGGAACCUUGAAAACUGCAUAGAGCUAGGUGAAAAAGCCAAAAAAGAAGACCGCAA